AUUGAACGCUGGCGGCAGGCCUAACACAUGCAAGUCGAGCGGAAACGACACCUCCGGGUGGGCGUCGAGCGGCGGACGGGUGAGUAACGCAUAGGAAUCUGCCCGGUCGUGGGGGAUAACCUGGGGAAACUCAGGCUAAUACCGCAUACGUCCUACGGGAGAAAGGGGGCUCCGGCUCCCGCGAUCGGAUGAGCCUAUGUCGGAUUAGCCGGCUGGUGAGGUAACGGCUCACCAGGGCGACGAUCCGUAGCUGGUUUGAGAGGAUGAUCAGCCACACCGGGACUGAGACACGGCCCGGACUCCUACGGGAGGCAGCAGUGGGGAAUAUUGGACAAUGGGCGCAAGCCUGAUCCAGCCAUGCCGCGUGUGUGAAGAAGGCUUUCGGGUUGUAAAGCACUUUCAGUGAGGAAGAACGCUGUCGGGUUAAUACCCCGGCAGAGAGACAUCACUCACAGAAGAAGCACCGGCUAACUCCGUGCCAGCAGCCGCGGUAAUACGGAGGGUGCAAGCGUUAAUCGGAAUGACUGGGCGUAAAGCGCGCGUAGGCGGCACGAUCAGCCGGUUGUGAAAGCCCCGGGCUCAACCCGGGAACCGCAUCCGGAACUGUCGCGCUGGAGUGCAGGAGAGGAAGGUAGAAUUCCCGGUGUAGCGGUGAAAUGCGUAGAGAUCGGGAGGAAUACCAGUGGCGAAGGCGGCCUUCUGGACUGACACUGACGCUGAGGCGCGAAAGCAUGGGUAGCAAACAGGAUUAGAUACCCUGGUAGUCCAUGCCGUAAACGAUGUCGACCAGCCGUUGGGGUCCUUGAGACCCUUGUGGCGAAGUUAACGCGAUAAGUCGACCGCCUGGGGAGUACGGCCGCAAGGUUAAAACUCAAAUGAAUUGACGGGGGCCCGCACAAG
rnacentral:rRNA from 1 species